rnacentral:rRNA from 1 species
GACGAACGCUGGCGGCGUGCUUAACACAUGCAAGUCGAACGGAAAGGCCCUGCUUUUGUGGGGUGCUCGAGUGGCGAACGGGUGAGUAACACGUGAGUAACCUGCCCUUGACUUUGGGAUAACUUCAGGAAACUGGGGCUAAUACCGGAUAGGAGCUCCUGCUGCAUGGUGGGGGUUGGAAAGUUUCGGCGGUUGGGGAUGGACUCGCGGCUUAUCAGCUUGUUGGUGGGGUAGUGGCUUACCAAGGCUUUGACGGGUAGCCGGCCUGGGAGGGUGACCGGCAACAUGGGGAGUGGGAGGGGCCCGGAAGGGCAAGGGGGGGAAGUGGGGGGAGAAUUGGCAAACGGGGGGGGGGCGGGGGAAGAAGGCGCCGGGUGGGGGAGGGCGGCUUGGGGGGUAGAAACGGCGUUGGCCGGGAAAGAGGAGGGUGUGACGGUAUUUGAUAAAAAAGCGCCGGCUAACUACGUG